rnacentral:lncRNA from 1 species
UGGAUUACUUGAACGCACGGUUUUGAGCUCGCGUGCUGAUUUUACUGAUUUUCAGCGUCGACCGUCAGUGUUUCGGCUUGUAUUGGCGUAGGAACGUCGGAUUUCGACGGGACUUGGUUCGUUGGAUUCAGAACUUUGAGAGGAAUCCACGAAGCCCUUAUUUGUUGGAUUUGUUGAAGGUUAGCUGGGUCGAAAUUAUGUUCUCCUCUGCUGCUGUGUUUCGGACAGAAUUUGAGAUGGAGUUCUUCGUUGCGAUGUGUGCAGGGCGAUUUCAAACUUGAGCUGGACACCCUGGUUUUUCCAGUGGAUUUGGGAAUAUUUGGUGACCUCCUCGCUGCUGGGGUUUAGCGAUCGAGGUGGGUUACAUCAAUUUAUUCCUAAGUAUAUAUUAGUCGACAUGUAUGAUUUUCGGGUUUUUGGUAAAUCAUGUUGUAGCUCAGGUUGUUGAUCGUAUCAUGGCUAAAAAUAAUCAGCAUUGAGAACAUGACUUGUAACCAUAAACAUACAUGUUGGACUUGGAUUCGACUUAGGAGAAAACGCGAUAACGAUCGGCAUAUGUUAAACUACCUGAUUUAGCCCUAGGGGCCGUUGUAUGAUUUUAUACUGUUGCAGUAUCAUCAUAUUGAGAAUUCCAGGUAGUUUAGAUUUUAGUUACACUCGUGCGGGGAUGCCGAGUGAAUUUUUAAAAUAGCGUUUAGGCUGUUCCAGACUGUUGGGUGCCGUCGGGGUUGACGGUGGACCCGUAUCGCCUGUUUGGCGUCGGAUUGUGCCGAGGG